rnacentral:rRNA from 1 species
GACGAACGCUGGCGGCGUGCUUAACACAUGCAAGUCGAGCGGUAAGGCCCUUUCGGGGGUACACGAGCGGCGAACGGGUGAGUAACACGUGGGUGACCUGCCCUUAGCUCUGGGAUAAGCCUGGGAAACUGGGUCUAAUACCGGGAUAUGACUCCAUGACGCAUGUUGUGGGGUGGAAAAGCCUUGUGCGGCUAGGGAUGGGCCCGCGGCCUAUCAGCUUGUUGGUGGGGUGAUGGCCUACCAAGGCGACGACGGGUAGCCGGCCUGAGAGGGCGACCGGCCACACUGGGACUGAGACACGGCCCAGACUCCUACGGGAGGCAGCAGUGGGGAAUCUUGCGCAAUGGGCGAAAGGCCUGACGCAGCGACGCCGCGUGAGGGAUGACGGCCU